rnacentral:lncRNA from 1 species
GUUUGUCCUUAAUUCUUUCUCUUUUCCUGCUGAAACCCAAACUAACUGUUUCUCCUAAAGUAGGGUUGUUGCAGAGAUUACAGAAAAAAUAUCUUAUUAUAGGCCAAGAAUUUCAACCGCUGCUUCAGGAACCAUCUAGAAGAGGGGAAAGAAAAUGUUGACUCUUUGAUGAAAGAAUUGCAGGAGAAGUUCCUGAAUAAUAGUGAGAUUAAAAAGUGCUAUGAGAAAGUAAAUAAAAUUGGAAAUGUGCUGGUGGAUCACUUGGUACAUGGCAAAUCUUCAACGGAGACAAGUGGGACCAAUCCUACAAUAAAACAACAGGAGAACAUCUGGAAGGGAAAAGUCAAUCAUACAGGACAUCCUCCCAAGGACACCUGUCUUCAUGCCCUUAAACAAAUAACCUGUAUAUUUAGUUAAGGGGGAUUGGAGGCUGGGGAUCUGCUUCUCUAAAUUGUGUGCUUCCCACUGAUCUCCUUGCAAGAGAACAUGAUCUAAUGACGAUCAGUACUUCUGAAUGCCUAAUGACCCCCCAUGGGAGAUCGAGAGGGAGCUGCACUGAGUGAGAGCCAAUCGUAGUACAGCAGAAUGCAAUAUCCAUAAACUGACUGUAGGACAAUAUUCCUGCCUUAUUAGAGAACAAAACUAACCUGUUGGAAUUGUCUUUGCUCAGCUCUUUGUUCCAUGCUCAAGGUCUGGAAUCUAGUUUAAUAUUAAACCGCAUCUUAUAGGAGAAGAUGACCUCACCCAGAAUCCAACCCAUUAGCUAACAUGUGUCAGGUCUUUUUUAAAGACAUUUUCAUGGAACUUUAAGUGAAUUCUCCAAGAAUAAUUUGGGAUCCUCAUCCUGCCAAAAUUAACUCGGUUCAAGUUUAUUCUGAGUGCUUUGAUAGCACUGGUCUACAAUUUUUGAGAAGUCGUCUGCUUCAGAGAUAAAAUGUGCUAUUUAUUAUGUAUUUUGAUGUGCUGAAUUCAAAUAUGACAAUUAAAACAACUGAUUGGCUACUGUUUCUAAGAUAUUUAAGUUUUUACAUUUUAUGUCUAUGUAUAUUGUGUAUAUAGUAGAGUUUUAAUCAUAAAUUGUAAAC